UUUCAUCUAUUGCUGCUUAAGUUUACAACGCCUCUUUUCUUCUGAACUUGCUUAACUUCCAGCUUUUCUAAAACAUGCUCUUUUAUGCUCUUAAAUCAGCUUUCUUUCUUUGUUGUUUCAAACCUGCUAUCAUAUCUGUUGGUUUCUCACGAGUCUCUAAAAAGAGAACUCUGAUUCUGUUUCAAUGGUUUGUCCUCUCAUCUCUAUAUUUGAUUCAAGUUGAAUCCCUAGAAUUUGAGGGGUUUCUUUGGUAAGUUCAAUUUUGUAUUUGGACUAGGGUUCUACUUUGAAACCCCAAACUCUCAAACUCAUUCAGAGUCUAUAGAUUAGACCUAAACCUUUUUAUGACUAUUUCUAUGAUAAUAUGUUCUAACCAGCAUGACAAC
rnacentral:lncRNA from 1 species